rnacentral:rRNA from 1 species
AGUGAACGCUGGCGGUAGGCCUAACACAUGCAAGUCGAACGGCAGCACAGUAAGAGCUUGCUCUUACGGGUGGCGAGUGGCGGACGGGUGAGGAAUACAUCGGAAUCUACUUUUUCGUGGGGGAUAACGUAGGGAAACUUACGCUAAUACCGCAUACGACCUACGGGUGAAAGCAGGGGAUCUUCGGACCUUGCGCGAUUGAAUGAGCCGAUGUCGGAUUAGCUAGUUGGCGGGGUAAAGGCCCACCAAGGCGACGAUCCGUAGCUGGUCUGAGAGGAUGAUCAGCCACACGGGAACUGAGACACGGUCCAGACUCCUACGGGAGGCAGCAGUGGGGAAUAUUGGGCAAUGGGCGCAAGCCUGAUCCAGCCAUACCGCGUGGGUGAAGAAGGCCUUCGGGUUGUAAAGCCCUUUUGUUGGGAAAGAAAAGCAGCAGGUUAAUACCCCGCUGUUCUGACGGUACCCAAAGAAUAAGCACCGGCUAACUUCGUG